UCGGCUCAUGAGCAAGUCUCUCCUUUGAAGUACAGCUUUCAUUGAAACACAUCUUCUUUCGACAGUGCAAUUUUAGAUAAAUCUAGCAUCCAUUUAUUCUUCAAAAAGUAACCAAACAGCAUCUAUGGAGUUUUUGUUCUACAAAUUCUGCACCAAAGCUUUUUCGAAAGGAUCUAUAAGUCUGCUCUCCAUAAAUGGACGCUCUGCUAAAAGGCUCUGGCUUUGAAAUCACCAGAAGUUUGGAAUGCGGGGAAUGUGUCAAUUUUCAUGAACCUGCCUCUCGCUUAUUGUGUUUCUCUGCGCCUUUCCCCAAAUAAGGACGCUACCCGAAUACUGAUUGCCCAUUUUAGGUGUUGCUUUCCUUUUUCUUGACGAGCUGACGUCAUGGUGAUAAGGAGAGCUUUUUUAGUUGAGUUUCAGCCUUAAGCUCCACACUUUCUGGUUAGCAGUGAACCUAGCAACUUCUGCUUCUCCUGUGGUAAAGUAUAGCUUACUGAUAAACAUGGCCAACCAGGGACCUACUUAUGGAUUUAGUAGGGACAUUCGGAACAAGAUUGAGAAGAAGUAUGAACCUGAACUGGAGGAGCGGCUAGUAGAGUGGAUUAUCGCUCAGUGUGGAGCGAGUGUGGGGCGACCUGAGCCAGGGAGAAUGGGG